AUAUUUAAAUGGCAAGUAUAUAGAAAUAUAUAUACGCAAAGUUGCAUAACUAAGGAUUACUCUAUGUUGGAUGGACUACAAUA
rnacentral:ncRNA from 1 species